UUACUGAAAUUCUCAUGAGGUGACAGAAGAGCAUAGCACAGUACAAAACCUGUUAAAAUAUUCUCUAAUCAUCUGUCUUAUCUUCUGCUAGUCUCUCCUAUCGCCUCUUUCUUUCUCUACAAAGUAUAGCCCCACUCCCACCACAGGGUGGUGUCCCUCUGUGACUUGAGCACUGUAGUCCUUCCCCUCAGCUGCAGUGCUUCACUCCGCAAAACAAGAAACAACAACAUGGGACUUUUCUAGUACAUUCCUUGGGAAACUUGGUAUGUCCUGCUUGAAAGAAAAGCCCAAAUAAGACUGCCAAGAUCAUCCAGAGGGCUGCUGUAGUAUCCUAGGGGUCUACUCCAGUCCCUGGUUACCUCGAAUUUUCCAGUCCCUGGAUGUCUCACCAGUGAAGGUUGUGAAACAGCAAAAAUGGCAGCCUGCACCCUCCUCUGGGAGCUCCAUCCCAAGAAGAUGUUGGCACUUCUUAGGAAGGAGCCAUCCAUGUCUGAAGAGAAGAAAUGAUAAUUAACUUCAUCAUGUGGAAAGCUUUAGAAGGAAGUAUCUUGUCCUUCUGUCCAAACCCGCCUCCUCCUUACCACCCCCAAUAAAAAUAAAAGCCAAACAAAUAAAACAUUAGCAGUAGCUCUGAGUUUCUUCCUUUCACUUUUUCUCUCUCUUCAUGCCUUUUCUCCUCCAUUCCUUCCUUCUUUCAAAUCAUUUUUACUAGUUUAAGAGAAUAAUUCAAUCUAUAUUUAGAAAUCAGACUUAAAACUUCAAAAAUUAUACUGAAAUAGCUUCCCCUUAAAGGGUGAAACAGUCAUGAUAAAAAUAACAACCGAUAGAAUAAAAUAAUAUAAAAUUAGCUGAGUUUAUAGUUUCUUUUACACCUCCAUAAUUUAUGUGGAUUUGGAAAUACAGACAGUAUACUGAAAACUAAGAAGUUUUCUAUGAAUUAUGAGAAUUUGCAAUCCACAUAGGCUUAAGUCUAAUGUUAGAAGAUAAAACAAAUUGACCUUAAAUAACUUUCUGACAUAACCUCCCCAUUUCAUGGAUGAAAAACCCUAAAGCUCUCAUAAGUAAAGUGAUUUACUUCAGGACACAAACUAGUUGAUUUAGUUUGGAUGUUUGUCCCCUCCAAAUCUCAUGUUGAAAUGGAAUCCCCAGUGUUGGAGGUGGGGCCUGGUGGGAGGUGUUUGUGUCAUGGGGCAGAUCCAUUAUCCUUAUGAGCUGCUUGGUGCUAUCCUUGUGAUAGUGAGUGAGUUCUCAUGAAAUCUGGUUGUUUAAAAAUUUGUGGCACCUCCCCACCAGCCUUGCUCCUGCUCUUGCGGUGUGAUAUGCCUGCUGCCUCUUCACCUUACACCGUGAUUAUAAGCUUCCUGAGGCCUCACCAGAAGCAGUUCUUCUAUCAGGAUUUUAAGAGGGCAGGCAGAACUUUAAAGCAAAGGAAAUUGCUUGUUUUUGUGAAAUUAACCAGUCUGUUAUCAAGGCGGAGGACAAGAUACGAAUGCUAAUCAUUGUGAAGAAACUCAUUACGGAAUUUUCUCCAAUACAUAGGCAAAAGAAGUGGCUGUUAUCAUUUUGCACUAUAACCAGACAUAUAAUGCUGUUGCUCCACAUCCACGUCAGAGGGCUGCUGCGAUUUGCUGAGGGUCUGCUCCAGACCCUAGUUGCCUCAGGUUUCCUGUACCUGGAGGUAUCACCAGUGAAGCUGCAAAAAAGUGAGAAUGACAGCCUGCCCCUUUCUCUGGAAGCUCCACCUCAGGGGAUUACUGACCUAUUGCCGGCCUGAACAUGACUGUUGGAGGUGGCUGGAGACCUUGGUUGGGAGGUCUUACCCAGUCAAGAGGAAUGGGGUCAGGGACCUGCUUAAAGAAGCAGUCCAGCUGCUUUUUGAUAGAGCAGCUGUGCUGUGUUGAAGAUCUCUUCAGUCUCCAAUCGGUUUGGAUUCUCCAAGGCCCACAGUCUGGAUUGGCUGAGAAGCCUGAACAACCAACAUGGUGGCCUGCUCCACCCCUCAGGCACUCUGUCCCAGGGAGAACAUGGGCAGGGGUGGCCAGAGGCCCCAGCUGGGAGGACCUGGCUGGGAGGACUUGCCCUACGAGGAGUGGAUCAGGGUCCUGCUUAAAGAAGCAGUGUGCAUCUUUUCUUAUGUGUUUCCUUUCCCUCUAUAUAUCUACUUUUGUGAAAUGUUGGUUCAAAUCAUUUGCUUAUUCAUUUUUUUUGUAGUAGUAAGAGGGUUUUUAUACAUUCUACAUUCAAUUUUUUAUCAGAUAUAUGAAUUGCAAUUUUUUUCUUCUCUAUAUCUCAAUUUUUAACUGCCUUUGGAGCAAACAUAUAUAACAUGUGUGAGGUCUGAUUUAGCACUUUUCUUCCUUUUUCAGUUUACUUAAAACUGACUUUAGCUCUUGCCUGUAGGUCUAUGAGUUCAUUUCAAGUCAAAUUUUGUAUAAAGUGGGAAGUAAGUGUCA
rnacentral:lncRNA from 1 species